UGGGGAAUAUUGGACAAUGGGCGCAAGCCCCAUUCAGCCAUGCCGCGUGAGUGAAGAAGGCCCUAGGGUUGUAAAGCUCUUUCACCGAUGAAGAUAAUGACUGUAGUCGGAGAAGAAGCCCCGGCUAACUUCGUGCCAGCAGCCGCGGUAAUACGAAGGGGGCUAGCGUUGUUCGGAAUUACUGGGCGUAAAGCGCGCGUAGGCGGAUACUUAAGUCAGGGGUGAAAUCCCGAGGCUCAACCUCGGAACUGCCUUUGAUACUGGGUAUCUUGAGUUCGAGAGAGGUAAGUGGAAUUCCGAGUGUAGAGGUGAAAUUCGUAGAUAUUCGGAGGAACACCAGAGGCGAAGGCGGCUUACUGGCUCGAUACUGACGCUGAGGCGCGAAAGCGUGGGGAGCAAACAGGAUUAGAUACCCUGGUAGUCCACGCCGUAAACGAUGGAUGCUAGCCGUUGGAUAGUAUACUAUUCAGUGGCGCAGCUAACGCAUUAAGCAUCCCGCCUGGGGAGUACGGUCGCAAGAUUA
rnacentral:rRNA from 1 species